rnacentral:snRNA from 1 species
UUACUUACCUGGCAGGGGAGAUACCAUGAUCACGAAGGUGGUUUUCCCAGGGCGAGGCUUAUCCAUUGCACUCCGGAUGUGCUGACCCCUGCAAUUUCCCCAAAUGUGGGAAACUCGACUGCAUAAUUUGUGGUAGUGGGGGACUGCGUUCGCGCUUUCCCCUG